UUGAGUAGUCAAGUUGUUUCGUGCUCUCACAAAAUUUCCCAAGUUAGUUUAGCUUGAUAAGUUUUUUUCCACCUCCACCUGCUAAUACACAUACCCGAAGUUGUGGUGCCGAUAUGGAAGAUCAUUGUUACGAAAUGGAAAUAGCAAUAGGUUCGAGCAAAAGGGAGAGAGGAACUGAUUCUGAUCCACCCACACCGAGUAAACCCCAAAAAGGAAAAAAGGCUAAAAAACCAACAGAGUGUGAGGAAAACGAGGUGCCCAAUUCGGCUAUUUUGGAUGCAAUUAAAGCCCUUGGAACUAAGGUAGAUUUACAGCACGAAGAAUUAAGCACGCAGAUGAAGCAGCACAGUGCGAUGAUUGCAAGCGUUGCUAAGUCCGUCCAAAUAAAUGCGCAGGAGUUACGAGAAUGCAAAGACAAAAUUAAAAUGAUGGAGAAACAAAUUGAAAAUCUAUCCGAAGUCAAUAAUGAUCUGAAAAUUCGUGUGCUGGAAGAGGAAAGAUACAAGAGGAGAUGGUGUCUUCGCAUAAAAGGUCUCAAGGAGAACUCAAACGAGCGCAUAAGAGAGGAUGUGAUUCAACUUCUGGGCAAGAUAACGCCUGAGUUUGCUUCUACUAUGGAGGAGGCUGUGGAUGUCGUGCAUCGGGUGGGAAGAAAGGAGACCGGUCGUUCGAGAGAGGUGAUCAUUCUUUUUACCCGCAGAUUGGUGCGGGACGAAGUAUGGAAGAGAACCAAGUCGUCAGCAGUGUGCAAAGAAGCUGGCAUCCGUUUUGCCGAAGACCUGACGAAAGAAGAUAGACUGUUGAGAAGUGAAUUAUGGCCAAGAAUCGCACAAGCCAGAAAGGAAGGCAAGGCGGCUGGGUUUAGAGGUCCAUUUGGGUAUAUAGAGGGUAAACGUAUCACUUAAAAAGGGUAUUGACUGCUUCUCUCUGAUAUGAGGUGAGGUGGGGUGAUAAAGAAAUGGGAUUCAGUUUUUUCUAUUCCACAAACGCUAAACGUAGUUUACAU
ensembl:lncRNA